UUAAUUUUAAAAAAUAAGUAUAAACUUAGGAUGUUUAGGUUAAUUAAUUUAUAAAAAUUUUAUUUUUAGUAACUACAUAAUAUAUUUGGAGAUUUAAUUAGUUGAAUUAGCAAUUAUAUUUUAAUUAGUUUAUUUAUUUAAUGACUGAUUAUGAUUAAAUAUUUUAAUUAACUUCAUGAAUUAUAUUACUUAAUGAAUAGUAAUUCAAUUUUCUCUUCUUCUUUUUCUCCUUUACUAAUCAAAGUAAUUAAAAAAGUGAAAUACAUACCAUGCUACUUAAAGGGUGUAGCCUACCUUUUCAUUAAAAAAAAAAAAAAAAUUUAAAAAAUUUAAAAAAUUAAAAAAAAAAAAAAAAAAACUGAGUAUAGCCGUGCGGCUAUACUAUUUUU
rnacentral:lncRNA from 1 species